rnacentral:rRNA from 1 species
AUUGAACGCUGGCGGAAUGCUUUACACAUGCAAGUCGAACGGCAGCACGGACUUCGGUCUGGUGGCGAGUGGCGAACGGGUGAGUGAUGUAUCGGAACGUGCCCAGUCGUGGGGGAUAACGUAGUGAAAAUUACGCUAAUACCGCAUACGAUCUAUGAAUGAAAGCGGGGGAUCGCAAGACCUCGCGCGAUUGGAGCGGCCGAUAUCAGAUUAGGUAGUGGGUGGGGUAAAGGCCCACCAAGCCAACGAUCUGUAGCUGGUCUGAGAGGACGACCAGCCACACUGGAACUGAGACACGGUCCAGACUCCUACGGGAGGCAGCAGUGGGGAAUUUUGGACAAUGGGCGAAAGCCUGAUCCAGCCAUUCCGCGUGCAGGAUGAAGGCCCUCGGGUUGUAAACUGCUUUUGUACAGAACGAAAAGGUUUCUACUAAUACUAGGAGCUCAUGACGGUACUGUAAGAAUAAGCACCGGCUAACUACGUGCCAGCAGCCGCCGUAA